rnacentral:tRNA from 1 species
GUUCCUGUAGUUAAAACGCUAUAACAACGGCUUUUCAGGCCGUGGAUCUCGGGGAGAGGCCGAGCAGGAAUU